AUGAAACUUAUACACCAUGCUUAUUACCACAAAAUACAGAUCAGGUUUGAAUUUUAGGGGUGUCAAUAUUACUGUUCUACAGUUAUGCCCCUUUAUAACGUUAUAUGAUAUGCAAGCGGGGGCAUCAUCUGUGUCCCAUGGACACAUUCCCCAUUUAUUUAAUUAUCACAUAUUUGGAUUCUGCUUGUAAAAAUACACCAGAAAAAUUUUGAAUGUGUUUUUCACUGUAACGGUCAAAUGUCAUGAAUGUAGAACCCCCUUUAACAAACUUUAACAAAACAGAACCGAUCA
rnacentral:lncRNA from 1 species